UAACGCAGCGAAAGCUGUGCUAAUACCGCAUACGCUCUGAGGAGGAAAGCAGGGGAUCGUAAGACCUUGCGUUAUUCGAGCGGCCGACGUCUGAUUAGCUAGUUGGUGGGGUAAAGGCUCACCAAGGCUUCGAUCAGUAGCGGGUCUGAGAGGAUGAUCCGCCACACUGGGACUGAGACACGGCCCAGACUCCUACGGGAGGCAGCAGUGGGGAAUUUUGGACAAUGGGCGCAAGCCUGAUCCAGCCAUGCCGCGUGUCUGAAGAAGGCCUUCGGGUUGUAAAGGACUUUUGUCAGGGAGCAAAUGCCGGCGGCUAAUAUCCGCUGGAGCUGAGAGUACCUGAAGAAUAAGCACCGGCUAACUACGUGCCAGCAGCCGCGGUAAUACGUAGGGUGCAAGCGUUAAUCGGAAUUACUGGGCGUAAAGCGUGCGCAGGCGGUUGUGCAAGUCUGAUGUGAAAGCCCCGGGCUCAACCUGGGAACGGCAUUGGAGACUGCACGGCUAGAGUGCGUCAGAGGGGGGUAGAAUUCCACGUGUAGCAGUGAAAUGCGUAGAGAUGUGGAGGAAUACCGAUGGCGAAGGCAGCCCC
rnacentral:rRNA from 1 species